CAGUCGCCGCGGUAAAACGAGGGGGGCAAGCGUUGUUCGGAAUUACUGGGCGUAAAGCGUGCGCAGGCGGUUUGUUAAGACAGAUGUGAAAGCCCCCGGCUCAACCGGGGAGGGUCAUUGGAAACUGGGAAACUUGAGUGCAGAAGAGGAGAGUGGAAUUCCACGUGUAGCGGUGAAAUGCGUAGAGAUGUGGAGGAACACCAGUGGCGAAGGCGACUCUCUGGUCUGUAACUGACGCUGAGGAGCGAAAGCGUGGGGAGCGAACAGGAUUAGAGACCCGCGUAGUCCCUGUCUCUUAUAU
rnacentral:rRNA from 1 species